GGGUUGUGAGGUUAAGCGACUAAGCGUACACGGUGGAUGCCCUGGCAGUCAGAGGCGAUGAAGGACGUGCUAAUCUGCGAUAAGCGUCGGUAAGGUGAUAUGAACCGUUAUAACCGGCGAUUUCCGAAUGGGGAAACCCAGUGUGUUUCGACACACUAUCAUUAACUGAAUCCAUAGGUUAAUGAGGCGAACCGGGGGAACUGAAACAUCUAAGUACCCCGAGGAAAAGAAAUCAACCGAGAUUCCCCCAGUAGCGGCGAGCGAACGGGGAGCAGCCCAGAGCCUGAAUCAGUGUGUGUGUUAGUGGAAGCGUCUGGAAAGGCGCGCGAUACAGGGUGACAGCCCCGUACACAAAAAUGCACAUGCUGUGAGCUCGAUGAGUAGGGCGGGACACGUGGUAUCCUGUCUGAAUAUGGGGGGACCAUCCUCCAAGGCUAAAUACUCCUGACUGACCGAUAGUGAACCAGUACCGUGAGGGAAAGGCGAAAAGAACCCCGGCGAGGGGAGUGAAAAAGAACCUGAAACCGUGUACGUACAAGCAGUGGGAGCACGCUUAGGCGUGUGACUGCGUACCUUUUGUAUAAUGGGUCAGCGACUUAUAUUCUGUAGCAAGGUUAACCGAAUAGGGGAGCCGAAGGGAAACCGAGUCUUAACUGGGCGUUAAGUUGCAGGGUAUAGACCCGAAACCCGGUGAUCUAGCCAUGGGCAGGUUGAAGGUUGGGUAACACUAACUGGAGGACCGAACCGACUAAUGUUGAAAAAUUAGCGGAUGACUUGUGGCUGGGGGUGAAAGGCCAAUCAAACCGGGAGAUAGCUGGUUCUCCCCGAAAGCUAUUUAGGUAGCGCCUCGUGAACUCAUCUCCGGGGGUAGAGCACUGUUUCGGCAAGGGGGUCAUCCCGACUUACCAACCCGAUGCAAACUGCGAAUACCGGAGAAUGUUAUCACGGGAGACACACGGCGGGUGCUAACGUCCGUCGUGAAGAGGGAAACAACCCAGACCGCCAGCUAAGGUCCCAAAGUCAUGGUUAAGUGGGAAACGAUGUGGGAAGGCCCAGACAGCCAGGAUGUUGGCUUAGAAGCAGCCAUCAUUUAAAGAAAGCGUAAUAGCUCACUGGUCGAGUCGGCCUGCGCGGAAGAUGUAACGGGGCUAAACCAUGCACCGAAGCUGCGGCAGCGACACUUAUGUGUUGUUGGGUAGGGGAGCGUUCUGUAAGCCUGUGAAGGUGUACUGUGAGGUAUGCUGGAGGUAUCAGAAGUGCGAAUGCUGACAUAAGUAACGAUAAAGCGGGUGAAAAGCCCGCUCGCCGGAAGACCAAGGGUUCCUGUCCAACGUUAAUCGGGGCAGGGUGAGUCGACCCCUAAGGCGAGGCCGAAAGGCGUAGUCGAUGGGAAACAGGUUAAUAUUCCUGUACUUGGUGUUACUGCGAAGGGGGGACGGAGAAGGCUAUGUUGGCCGGGCGACGGUUGUCCCGGUUUAAGCGUGUAGGCUGGUUUUCCAGGCAAAUCCGGAAAAUCAAGGCUGAGGCGUGAUGACGAGGCACUACGGUGCUGAAGCAACAAAUGCCCUGCUUCCAGGAAAAGCCUCUAAGCAUCAGGUAACAUCAAAUCGUACCCCAAACCGACACAGGUGGUCAGGUAGAGAAUACCAAGGCGCUUGAGAGAACUCGGGUGAAGGAACUAGGCAAAAUGGUGCCGUAACUUCGGGAGAAGGCACGCUGAUAUGUAGGUGAAGCGACUUGCUCGUGGAGCUGAAAUCAGUCGAAGAUACCAGCUGGCUGCAACUGUUUAUUAAAAACACAGCACUGUGCAAACACGAAAGUGGACGUAUACGGUGUGACGCCUGCCCGGUGCCGGAAGGUUAAUUGAUGGGGUUAGCGCAAGCGAAGCUCUUGAUCGAAGCCCCGGUAAACGGCGGCCGUAACUAUAACGGUCCUAAGGUAGCGAAAUUCCUUGUCGGGUAAGUUCCGACCUGCACGAAUGGCGUAAUGAUGGCCAGGCUGUCUCCACCCGAGACUCAGUGAAAUUGAACUCGCUGUGAAGAUGCAGUGUACCCGCGGCAAGACGGAAAGACCCCGUGAACCUUUACUAUAGCUUGACACUGAACAUUGAGCCUUGAUGUGUAGGAUAGGUGGGAGGCUUUGAAGUGUGGACGCCAGUCUGCAUGGAGCCGACCUUGAAAUACCACCCUUUAAUGUUUGAUGUUCUAACGUUGACCCGUAAUCCGGGUUGCGGACAGUGUCUGGUGGGUAGUUUGACUGGGGCGGUCUCCUCCUAAAGAGUAACGGAGGAGCACGAAGGUUGGCUAAUCCUGGUCGGACAUCAGGAGGUUAGUGCAAUGGCAUAAGCCAGCUUGACUGCGAGCGUGACGGCGCGAGCAGGUGCGAAAGCAGGUCAUAGUGAUCCGGUGGUUCUGAAUGGAAGGGCCAUCGCUCAACGGAUAAAAGGUACUCCGGGGAUAACAGGCUGAUACCGCCCAAGAGUUCAUAUCGACGGCGGUGUUUGGCACCUCGAUGUCGGCUCAUCACAUCCUGGGGCUGAAGUAGGUCCCAAGGGUAUGGCUGUUCGCCAUUUAAAGUGGUACGCGAGCUGGGUUUAGAACGUCGUGAGACAGUUCGGUCCCUAUCUGCCGUGGGCGCUGGAGAACUGAGGGGGGCUGCUCCUAGUACGAGAGGACCGGAGUGGACGCAUCACUGGUGUUCGGGUUGUCAUGCCAAUGGCACUGCCCGGUAGCUAAAUGCGGAAGAGAUAAGUGCUGAAAGCAUCUAAGCACGAAACUUGCCCCGAGAUGAGUUCUCCCUGACUCCUUGAGAGUCCUGAAGGAACGUUGAAGACGACGACGUUGAUAGGCCGGGUGUGUAAGCGCAGCGAUGCGUUGAGCUAACCGGUACUAAUGAACCGUGAGGCUUAACCUUACAACGCCGAAG
rnacentral:rRNA from 1 species